rnacentral:rRNA from 1 species
UACGUAGGGUGCGAGCGUUACUCGGAAUUACUGGGCGUAAAGCGUGCGCAGGCGGUUUUGUAAGCCAGAUGUGAAAUCCCCGGGCUUAACCUGGGAAUGGCAUUUGGGACUGCAAGGCUUGAGUGUGGCAGAGGGGACUGGAAUUCCUGGUGUAGCAGUGAAAUGCGUAGAGAUCAGGAGGAAUACCGAUGGCGAAGGCAGGUCCCUGGGCUGACACUGACGCUCAUGCACGAAAGCGUGGGGAGCAAACAGG